GUUUAGGUAGAUUAAUUUAAAUCGUGGCGCUGUUAACCCCAAGAUAGGCGUUUAGCUUCUUAGACG
rnacentral:tRNA from 1 species